rnacentral:rRNA from 1 species
UACAGAGGGUGCGAGCGUUAAUCGGAAUACUGGGCGUAAAGCGCGCGUAGGCGGCUUCGCAAGUCGGGGUGUGAAAUCCCCAGGCUUAACCUGGGAACUGCAUUCGAGACUGCAUUGCUAGAGUAUGGGAGAGGGAAGUGGAAUUUCCGGUGUAGCGGUGAAAUGCGUAGAUAUCGGAAGGAACAUCAGUGGCGAAAGCGACUUCCUGGACCAAUACUGACGCUCAUGUGCGAAAGCGUGGGGAGCAAACAGG